AACGAACGCUGGCGGCAGGCUUAACACAUGCAAGUCGAACGCAUGCCUUCGGGCAUGAGUGGCAGACGGGUGAGUAACGCGUGGGAACCUACCCCUUGGUACGGGAUAGCUCCGGGAAACUGGAGAUAAUACCGUAUGUGUCCUGAGGGACAAAGAUUCAUCGCCAAGGGAUGGGCCCGCGUCGGAUUAGCUAGUUGGUGAGGUAACGGCCUACCAAGGCGACGAUCCGUAGCUGGUCUAAGAGGAUGAUCAGCCACAUUGGGACUGAGACACGGCCCAAACUCCUACGGGAGGCAGCAGUGGGGAAUAUUGGACAAUGGGGGAAAGCCUGAUCCAGCCACGCCGCGUGAGUGAUGAAGGCCCUAGGGUUGUAAAGCUCUUUCACCGGUGACGAUAAUGACGGUAACCGGAGAAGAAGCCCCGGCUAACUUCGUG
rnacentral:rRNA from 1 species